rfam:Ovis aries breed Texel chromosome 2, whole genome shotgun sequence.
UCCCUGGUGGCUCAUAUGGUAAAGAAUCUGCCUGCAAUGCAGGAGACCUAGGUUUAAUCCCUAGGUUGGGAA